UUCCUCUCUUUUAGUUGGCAAACUCAGUCCCUAGUUAUGACUGCCAAAACUGAAGUACUGGCUGAGUAUGGUCUUAAGAGGCAAGUAGAUAUGCCAUAUGAUCCUCUCAUGUGACUCCUGAAAGUGGCAGGAAACCCUGGCAGUACGGCAAGUUGCAACACCCAACCAGCCAUGCAGUCACAGGAGCGAAGAUGCAGACUCUACCGCAUGCUGUAUUGUGAGGCUAUGAUGCUAAGUACUUUAGAAGACAAUGUUUGAAAUCGAGAAACUGGGGGCCUAAGUGAAGAAAAUAGAGGCACAACUCCAGCAGGACAUACAUUGCUCUUUAUGGAUCACACGGAGUUCACAGCUAGAUCUAUAAUUUGGGUACUCCAUAAGAAAAAAAAGCAAGGCUACUUGCCAAAAGAGCAAGAAAAUAUGCCCCUCUAGUCUGUUAAAAACAUGCUGUUCUUUACUCACUAUUUAAUGUCUCCCUAAGUUAAUAAAAACUGGCUUUUUUAUUUUUU